rnacentral:lncRNA from 1 species
UUGGGAAACCACUGCUUCUCCUGUCGAUUUCAACACCCUACAAACAAUUACAAUAAUUAACAUACUACAAACAAAUGAAGUACUUUAAUCAUCAAGUUGCAAAACAUCAUUUCAACUAAAACCAGAUAAUCACUUUCAAUCUUCACAAAAUACUGUUUUAACCCAACAGUGGUUUCAAACCACCGUUUUAACCCUACAGUGGUUUCAACCACUGUUUUCUCCAAAAAACACUAUCUUAACCCAAUAGUGGUUUCAAACCGUCGUUUCAAACCACUGUUUAAUACAAAUUUCCACAUAAAUCAAAAUAAAAAAAAAACAUGUGGAUUACUGGGCCUCCUUUUGACUCGAACAGUAGCUCCAUUCAAGCUCGACUCAAGCUUUUAGCCAGCCGACUAGAGCUUUUGUAG